CGCCGAAACGUGAAUACACUUUGAUAGUAGUGGAAAUCGGUGCCUUACUUACUCUACUCUAAAUGAAUGUUAGAAAUGGCAGCCUUACAAAAAUUUGUUUGCGCCAGGUUUUUUUCAAGAACUGUAAAAUCUGUCGCAUGCAGUGUGUGCCGUGGUUUUGUGUGAAGUUUAAAGGGGGCCCUAAACAAGCAAAGUGGUCUAAGUUCUUAUAUCGGGUGCAAAAUAGGGGAGUAGUGGGUCAAAAACUAUAAAUGUUAAGUGAGAAGUUCAGAAACUAUGCAACCG